AUUGAACGCUGGCGGCAGGCCUAACACAUGCAAGUCGAGCGAGCGGCGGACGGGUGAGUAAUGUAUGGGGACUGCCCGAUAGAGGGGGAUAACUACUGGAAACGGUAGCUAAUACCGCAUACUAUCGGAUAACCCAUAUGGGAUUAGCUAGUAGGUGAGUUAAUGGCUCACCUAGGCGACGAUCCAUAGCUGGUCUGAGAGGAUGAUCAGCCACACUGGAAUUGAGACGCGGCCCAGACUCCUACGGAGGGGGCAGUGGGGAAUAUUGCACAGUGGGCGCAGGCCGGAUGCGGCCAUGCCGCGUGUAUGAAGAGGGCCCUGGGGUUGUAAAGUACUUUCAGUCGGGAGGCGUUACCGAAAGAAGAAGCACCGGCUAACUCCGUGCCAGCAGCCGCGGUAAUAC
rnacentral:rRNA from 1 species